rnacentral:rRNA from 1 species
AUUGAACGCUGGCGGCAUGCUUUACACAUGCAAGUCGAACGGUAACAGGUUAAGCUGACGAGUGGCGAACGGGUGAGUAAUGCAUCGGAACGUGCCCGAUCGUGGGGGAUAACGCAGCGAAAGCUGCGCUAAUACCGCAUACGAUCUGAGGAUGAAAGCGGGGGACCGUAAGGCCUCGCGCGAUCGGAGCGGCCGAUGUCAGAUUAGGUAGUUGGUGGGGUAAAGGACCACCAAGCCGACGAUCUGUAGCUGGUCUGAGAGGACGACCAGCCACACUGGGACUGAGACGCGGCCCAGACUCCUACGGGAGGCAGCAGUGGGGAAUUUUGGACAAUGGGCGAAAGCCUGAUCCAGCAAUGCCGCGUGCAGGAAGAAGGCCUUCGGGUUGUAAACUGCUUUUGUACGGAGCGAAAAGGUCCUUUCUAAUACAAGGGGCUCAUGACGGUACCGUAAGAAUAAGCACCGGCUAACUACGUGCCAGCAGCCGCGGUAA